rnacentral:lncRNA from 1 species
GCCAAGUCCUUUUUGCACAAGGAAUGUUGCCUGGUUCUAAGUCCAAAAGUUAAGAUCAAGAUCAACAGUCCACCAAACAUUUUUUAGGCUUUUUGUUGUUUAUUAGAUGUUUUAAGGUUUUAAGACCACAAACAAAAUCAAAAGGCACAAACAAAAUAUAAUCACAAGAUAUGGCUCAAAUGAGAAAAGUGAAAAUGACGUAAACAUAAACAAGUUAAAUG